GCCACCCAAUCAAGCGGAUCGAUCUUCAAAUACAAAAUUCAUUCGUGAUCGUGCUGUCAGUAAUCCUUCGGAUAAUUUUCUAUUGGAAUCACAAUCGUUCGAUUGUACCGCCAGUUUUUGUUUACCCGCCGAAUACAGAGGUCGUAACGGAAUAUUUGUGUUCAACAAAGCCAAGGUAUACACUGAUUUAAGAGUGCAGUACGCGAACCUCAACCGAUUCAUUGUGCAAAGUAGUUUAGCGAAAACAAAACUACUGGAAUUUAUGCUGAUUUCGAAUGUAAAUGAGCUUUUGCACCUUUAGUUGUGGUAGAAUCGCGCCUUCGUCCCAAAUCUAGAGCGCAUUUGGCGCAGUUAAUAUUUGUGGAUACACGUUACCUAUGAAUGGAGGAAAAUUUAUCAUUAAAAUGAUAAGUUCAACUGUAAAACGAACAUUUUCUCCGCAAAAUAGAGAAGAAUCCAGCAUGUGCGACCACUUGACGACCAACGACGAAUGCUGAGCGAAUAUGUUUCCCGCGCGUUGCAAAUGUAACCAUAUUACACCCCUAAUCGGACUCAAUAGUUUGCUGCUUCCCGGUAGCUGCCUCCAACUGGAAAGACAGCCAGAUCACAACUGACUGAAGAAGACGAACUAACCCGCUCUCUUAUUAACUCCGGGCUGGCUGCUGCUGAUGUGCAGUGCGUUAUCAGUGACGGCUCGGGACGGAUGAAAAAUAUAUUUAUUGUUGUAUCGCUGACGACGUCGUAAACUCUUUCGUGGUCCUCCCCUUCCGACCGGCUGCGUCGACGCAGUAGUGUGGAGGGCAGUUGCGAGCCCAGCUCAUAUUCCGCAAGACGCAAGUAAGCAAAACGCGCGCGGGUUAUCAGACUCCACACAAGACAAGCACAUUUCUAAACAAUCAACCAGCCAACUGGUGACUUUGGUUUGCUGCAGUGGAAAGCUAAUGUGUCCUGGAAUUGUAGUGUUUUUUUUUUUGCAACCAAAGUCUCAUCUCGCACGAGUCGAGAGCCGUUACAAUCUGAUCCAAAUUCCCAGCCAGAUCGGACGCGUAGUGAGUGAUCGGGUGACGGUGGAGUUUAAUGAAGUUGUGAACGGUUUUUUUUUUGCGUGAGUGAAACGCUUUGCGAUCAAGAAGCCCCUCAAGACAUCUUAUCACGUCAAGUUGAGCGAAGAACGAGUCUUAGAAUCAAUAUUUGCUUUGUAUUAUCAGCGGAGAAGCGGAACACCCUAGGAACGUAUAUACAACGCAGUGUGCAUGUUCAAUUUCGUUCUAAAUGCGAAGAAGAAGGCUUGAAAAAAUGUGCCAACCUAAAAACCACAGUGGACGUCGAUCCAGAGAUACGCCAUGAAAAGCACGUGUGGUGGAUAAUCGAUCCCCGGUUUAUAUCGCGAGUGUGAACAGUUCAAACAUUGCAUCACUGCACACUGCUUUACCAGUCAGUGCUGCUCUACACUGUAGAUAGGGCUAGAAAAGCGCGCAGCAGAGUGUUCCGGUGAUAAGCGGCAGUCGUUUCGGUAUCUGGAUUUCCUUUGGUGCCCAACCCCUUUCGAGUAAACAAAACUACAGGGUAAGUCGCAUGCUUACUGUUCACAACACAUAAUGACUAAAAUUGUAACACUUUGAGUCACUUUAUCAUUUCUAAGAAAGGAGUGACCAAUUCCAGGUGAUGUGAAACGCAAAUUUUCGAUCCGUGAUGACUCUUUCCGCUUAAAACUUAUAAUAAAGUGCAUAGUAUGGCAAUAUUAUGGUGUAUCAAUGGAAAGUAAACAAGAUUUGCUUUGUUUUCCAAUCAAUAGUUAUAACAAGCAGUCCUUUUUUCGACUUCAACUCUGUUUUAAAGAACUUUUGUAUUAGUCGAACAUUUUCUAAAGAUUGAACACGAAAAAAUCCGGACAUGAAAAUCUUGUUGGGGUUUAACAAUGCGUUUUAUUUUUCACAGUGCAAUGUAACAGCUAUACAUUAGUAGGUCUUAUGCUUAUUGUAAGGCCAUUGUUUCAGUCUUCCUUCUAACCAUAGGCCAUUGCUCGAACUUUUCUUCUUACACGGCCCAUCAUCUUUUGCAUAAGCCCUGUUCCCACUUGUUUGGCUGCCAAACUCCAUUUCCGCUUGAUAUUCUUCAGGUCAAUUGCAGUUCCACCCUUUUUCUUCAGAAUGUGCUUCACAAUUGACCAGUAUUCCUCAAUUGGUCUUAGUUCCGGAGUAGUGCCAAACGAGGAACAUUUUGGGGAAUUUCAACUUCUUUUUGAUUUUACAUUCCUCUGGGGCACUCUUCCGGUCAACCGUGGUAUAACUGGUCGAUAACUGCCAGGAGCGGAUAGACUGGGAUUUUCGUUUCGAGCGUGCAGGAUCGAAACGCGAUUUCCUUGCUGCGGUGAAGCCAUGAUAUAAACAAAUGAACUUAUCCCGACAACCAAUGCCUACUAUGAUUCUAUACACUCCUGAACGAAUCCACAUAUGAUGAGAUCUGACGCUUUUUACUAAUAUAAAUUUUAACAAAGGGUUAAUAUAAUGUAAAGUGGUAGGUGAAUUCUCAUCUGAAACUGGCCACUUCUGGUACCUGAACAUGGCUGGAUAUAGCCAGUGUGAUCCUGGGCUCUUUGAAUGACUAUCAUUGAACUGUUUUUUUUUUUUAAUUUUCAUGUCAUUUGAUCUGUCACAUUGUGGGUUUUAUUCGUUUCGGGUCGAAUUUAGUCUCAUAAUCCAUAUAAACCGGAACAUGUUUAGGUCACAUCUCCUGAACCAGUUGAUCGGUUCCAAAACUAUUCAAAAGCAUUCUAUGGGACCAUAAAACCUUUCAUUUGUUGCGCCCAAUUCCGAUCAGUGGUUGUCGAUAAACACGACUUAGUCACUUAAAUCCGUAUUUUGACGUAGGACUACGUCUAUGAUUUUUAUAUGGGGAUACACUUUGUGAAAACCGAAAAUGGAACAUGUAACAAAAUUAUGAAAGACUUUGAACAUUAAUAGCUCAGC